rnacentral:rRNA from 1 species
GAUGAACGCUGGCGGCGUGCCUAAUACAUGCAAGUCGAGCGAACAGACGAGGAGCUUGCUCCUCUGACGUUAGCGGCGGACGGGUGAGUAACACGUGGAUAACCUACCUAUAAGACUGGGAUAACUUCGGGAAACCGGAGCUAAUACCGGAUAAUAUAUUGAACCGCAUGGUUCAAUAGUGAAAGCCGGUUUUGCUGUCACUUAUAGAUGGAUCCGCGCCGCAUUAGCUAGUUGGUAAGGUAACGGCUUACCAAGGCAACGAUGCGUAGCCGACCUGAGAGGGUGAUCAGCCACACUGGAACUGAGACACGGUCCAGACUCCUACGGGAGGCAGCAGUAGGGAAUCUUCCGCAAUGGGCGAAAGCCUGACGGAGCAACGCCGCGUGAGUGAUGAAGGUCUUCGGAUCGUAAAACUCUGUUAUUAGGGAAGAACAAAUGUGCAAGUAACUAUGCACGUCUUGACGGUACCUAAUCAGAAAGCAACGGCUAACUACGUG